rnacentral:tRNA from 1 species
GGAGAAGUAAGCUAAAAAAGCUUUCGGGCCCAUACCCCGAACAUGAAGGUUAAAACCCUUUCUUUGCCA